rnacentral:rRNA from 1 species
CCACGGGUUCCGUGUCGGAGCUAACGCGUUAAGCAUCCCGCCUGGGGAGUACGGCCGCAAGGCUAAAACUCAAAGAAAUUGACGGGGGCCCGCACAAGCGGCGGAGCAUGCGGAUUAAUUCGAUGCAACGCGAAGAACCUUACCUGGGCUUGACAUGUUCCCGACGGUCGUAGAGAUACGGCUUCCCUUCGGGGCGGGUUCACAGGUGGUGCAUGGUCGUCGUCAGCUCGUGUCGUGAGAUGUUGGGUUAAGUCCCGCAACGAGCGCAACCCUCGCCCCGUGUUGCCAGCGGAUUAUGCCGGGAACUCACGGGGGACCGCCGGGGUUAACUCGGAGGAAGGUGGGGAUGACGUCAGAUCAUCAUGCCCCUUACGUCCAGGGCUUCACGCAUGCUACAAUGGCCGGUACAACGGGAUGCGACGCGGCGACGCGGAGCGGAUCCCUGAAAACCGGUCUCAGUUCGGAUCGCAGUCUGCAACUCGACUGCGUGAAGGCGGAGUCGCUAGUAAUCGCGAAUCAGCAACGUCGCGGUGAAUGCGUUCCCGGGCCUUGUACACACCGCCCGUCAAGUCAUGAAAGUGGGCAGCACCCGAAGCCGGUGGCCUAACCCCUUGUGGGAUGGAGCCGUCUAAGGUGAGGCUCGUGAUUGGGACUAAGUCGUAC